GUACUGCUGAAGAGUCCCAAACUAGGACGAAACAGUUGUUCAGUAC
rnacentral:hammerhead_ribozyme from 1 species